UUUCUAUUUCCUCCAGAAAAAGUCAAAAUGUUCUUUUUGAGAGCUUGGCUUUCCUGUGGGUGAUUUUCCAAGGUGGGUACUUCAUUGACCAACAUUUGAGUGUGACAACAGCAUCCAGCACGGACGGUCAGUACUAGCUACUACCUACAGACAAACUCCCGCAGCAAGCCUUAGAGAAUAUGCUGACUUUAUUAUAUUCUCACUUGAAACAUCCUAAGAAGGUCCACACAUUCCUUUGGGGUCAUGAGACCAUGGCAGGGGUUGGGGGCGAGGGUUGGAUUUCUGUGUAGAAUUGAAUCCUCCACAUGAUGGCACAGGGUGGUCAUUGGGGAGAGCUGGGAGCCUUUGGCUACCCUGUCUUAGCCAUGAUUUCCAGCACUGAGCAAAUGAGAGCUAAUUUUAGGUGACAUCUGGACAAGGCUUUACCUCACACUGCACCCUGCAGUGACACCACAAAGUGUCUUUUCAAUUUUCAGUCCUUCUGAACAUAGGAAGGAUAAAUUCUCAGUUUUGUAAACUUAUAUCUGCACUCAUGAGAAAAGACGGGUACCGGUUUCUGAUUUGGAGGUAUUAGGCUUUAAUUGCUUUGUAAAACAUGCCAGCCUCCCCUCCACCCAUAAUUACUCUAUGGCAGUUUUAAAGGUAGGAGGAAAUUUUAUUUAAAAACAGAUUGGUGUAUUUCUCUCACAUUCUAUGGUGUCUUUGGUUGGGCAAGAAUGCACUGGCACAGUGCUCUGCUCCUCCAGGAUUCGGUGCAAUGGCUAAGGCAGGACGUGAGGCUGGCUACGCUCUGUUCAUUACUGCUUCCUCAAAAAUCACACUGAACCAAGACCAUGGCCACGGAGACUAGGAAUGCUGUCAUCCUCCCCCGUCCUCACUCCUGUGAGGCCUGGCCUCCUGAGUCUGCCCACUUUGUAACAAGUAUUAUGAAUGGUUGGGAGAAAAGCAGCAGCCUUGGUUUUAAGCAGGGCCAGUGAUGUAAUGACCUCGUAUCUUUAAGGUUCAGUUCCUCACCUCAGGCCAAGGGGCUCCUGUUCUCUUACUUCUGGAAGGUGGGGUCUAGUUCACCCCUGCAGCCUGCUGAAGCUGUGUGCUCCAAGGGCCAGGAAUGGAUGGAGCAGGUGCAGAUGGGAUGGGUGAUGCAGCGAUAGCAGCCGCGGCACUGAGAUCGUGUCACACGUGAGUUCUGAGCCUUUUCUCCGCUUAGGCUGCAAAUCCUUGGCAAUCGGAGGCAGGCUCUGAAUUAAGCUUAAUUAAAACUCACUCUUAAUUAGGGCCAUUACUUAAAAUCAACUCUAUGUAAUAAAGCCGUGUAAUCAUAAUUAAGCCCCAGGAAUGGAAUUAGGAAGCAGGGAAUGUGAAAGCCAAAUACAAGGGCCUUGUGAUGGUGGGGGUGACAGAGCCUUCUUCUUCAAUUAACAGGAUUUUUAAGUAAAUGAGCAGCAGCCAGUCGUGGUGACGACUUGGGUAGCCACAGGCAUGGUGAGCACACCAGAAAGGGGACGGACUUGAAGAAAGUAGACCCCAGGGGCAAUGGGCUCAGGUAGUGUGAUGGGUGACAGGGACAGUCACAAUGUCCAAACUGUCUUUAAUUUAAAAUCCUUGCUUCCUAAGGAACUCUUGUUAGAGGAGCUUGGAUCAGCACAGCCAAGGUCAGCGCUAUCCACCUGUCUUCUGGCUGCUGAUGUCACAGUCAUAGUGAUUGAUCCUAAGGAGAAAAGGGAAGUGACUCCUGGUGGCAGCCUCCUGCUUUGAUAUCAUUAAUAAGCCACCAAAGAGUGGGGACACAAUUUGGAAAUGAAAGGGCCAGUUUUGCAGGUUGGACGUACCAGAUGCUGGCAGUGGCCUAGGGUGUUGUUUCCUUCUCAAUUUCUUGAGCUAUGGUGUGGAAAUUGAAAUAGGCAGUGCCUUCAGGUUGUUCUGAUAAAUAUAAAGCAUUUAUAUAGCAUAGUGUUUACCGUAGUGCCUACAAACAACAGCAAAGUUUAUAUAGUUCUAAUAUAGGUAUGCUGCAGUAAGCACUGUUGUUUAUACGUUUGAGACCGCUGUUGGCCAUAGAUGUCAUAUUAAAUAGACAUCAUUUUCUUUAAUUUAUACGUAAAUAACUGUGGACUCAAAGAGGCCCAGGAACUCACAUAGGACAAGUAACAUCCCAUGGGAAGGAAGUGCAUAGAAAGAGCCACACAUGCAAGAGUUAUAAAGGCAGUGUCUGCCCCAGCUUGUUACUGAUCAGAGUCGGUGACGCCCACCGGAGAACAAGUGCCUAGAAGCACAGGCCUCUCAGAGAAGGCUGCUCUUUCAGGCCUAGUUUCUAGGCCCAAGCCUGUUUGUCUAAUUCUGCCAAAGAAAGAGACUUGCUCAUUCCAGAGUUAUAGAGUUGGAGGGAAAGUACAGACAGUUUCUUCUCCCAGCUUCCCCUCCAUUUCAUUUUCUUUGCUCAGGGUUCUUGGGGUUAUUCUUAGAAGUGGUAAGGGGGUGUAGACAGCCAUAACCUUCACCUCCUGUUUCCCUUUUAUAGCCCCCAUUUCUCCAGGAGUGUCUCCUCCUGUGGGCAGGUACAGACAUCAUGCCUGGUACCAGGUUAAAGCUCUGCACACACAUUGUCUCUUUUAUUCUGCAUCCAAGCUUCAAAGGUUGGGAUCAUCAUCUGUGCACUGCAGGUGAGGAAACUGUAGCUGGGACAGGCAAAGCCCAGUCAGCUCACUGACUGCAGUGAAAUAUGCCAUUUGAUCCUGUUCACUCCUAUAGAUAGCAUGCUCUUCCAGAGAUGCAGGCUGGAGCGGGUCCCCCGGACAGUUUCUACCCAUGGCAGCAUCAGCACUGAAGUUACACCUUUGACUCAGCCAACAUCUCAGAGCUCACGUUUCCCAAGCAGCCUUGGGUCCACACAGCGACUCCCCUUGACGCUUGCAGGCCUCAGAACUCGCUGAGCUCAGUUCUCCUGAUUGGUCUUCAAGACAGUACAAGGUAGAAAUUCAGCUGGGGCCAGGUCGUCAUGAAGUCAUCCAACUCUGACCUUUAAUAUCAUCGUUAAGUGAAUGAUACACAUGCAAAUGUUGGUUGGGCGGGCUAUGUUCAAAGUGUUAGAUACUGAGGUCUUGAAUCUUUCACAGUUUUGGCAUGGCUGGCUUAACAUUUCUGCAUUUGUUAAUGAACAGAAACCAUCAUUAGAAAGAAAGCAGGAUACAGGCUAACCAGUGAAGGUCUGGGACAUAACCUAGUGGUCACCUUUGCUCAUCUCUGACUGGGACUUUGUGCUUUUGGGCUCCCUAGAGAGGCCAUCUUGAUUAGAGGCGUAGGCCUGGAGAUAGGGGGCACUCUAGUAAGGAAAGUUCAUGAUUACCACCAGGUAGCACUACAAAUCAACCAUGAACCCUUGUUCUUGAGAGAGGGAAGACUGUGGCAGGUAAGAGAGCUAGAGACCAGCUUGGGUCGCUCAGGCUCCACUCUCCCACUGAGCGGUACCUCCCCUCCCCUCCCAUCUCCACACCAAGCUUCCCAUGUGGUGGCCCUGACCUGUGUGAAUCCAUCAUGGAGAGCAACUGGAGAGCGGGUUAGUGCCACAUGGGAGGGGAAGGCUCCCUGGUGUGUAUGGUAGGCUUUCAGGUGCUUACCGACCCCAGCACUUGACCAGAAGAAGCCUCAGUCCCUUUCCUAGCAUGACCCCUUUGUCCUUCAAGAUCAUUUGCCUCUAUUUACACUAAAUAGAGGCAGCUCCAUUUUUGAGUUCCUGUAUUUUGGGCAAGCCAAGCUGGAGGUCCCCACAGCCGGUCCAAGCAGGCCUCAGCUGUCCUGGAGAUGGUCACGUGGAAGGCGCUCCCAAGCCCGCUCCUCUGACAAAGUUUAGCAAACAGCUUAUCUCCCAGAAAACACGUGAGGUAAUGUUUAUGAAAUAUCAUCCUGUCCCCUUCACCAGGCUGUGGGGUGCUGGCAUGACUGAACAUUGCUGCUGGUGGCUGGGUCACCCUGCCCCGCCUCCCCUCAGUAGGGUAGGAAACUUCUAUCUAACCUUCCCCACAGCAGGUCUGGACAGUAAUGUUCUAUAGAUGUGUCCAGUGAGUUUAAAUCUUCAUGGUUUAAGAUGUAGCUGUGUAUGGAAUGGACAUAGUUUUCUUUAGGAGGAGACAGGCAGAGAGUAGCAGAGCAUUUUUGUCUAAAGUUGUAAAAAUCAGUUGGUGGCCUGGUGACUCUGCAAGUCUCUUCUGAACUGUUCUGCAGUAAAUAUUUAUUUUAAAAAGUAAGGAUAGAUAAAUGGAUAGUUUCAUGGGUGGACAGAAAGUGGAUAGCUGGCCAGGUGUGGUGGCACGUGCCUGUAAUCACAAAACUCAAGAAGAUAAGGCAGGAGACUUGUGAGAUUCAUUCCAAUGCGGACUACGUAUAAGAUGCCAUUUCGAACACAUAAAUGGGGGACAAUGAAGGGAAGGAAAGAAGGAGGAAGUAGUGAGGGGAGACACACACACUCAGAGGGAGAGAGAGAGAGAUGGGAGAAGAGGAGAGUUGAAGGGAGGAGAGGGGAGGAGAGGAAAAGAGAGACUAGAUACAUGGUUAGAGAAGGGAAUAUGUAAGAGUAGUUAGUUCUGGAAGAAUACACUGAAAACUUCGGGGUCUCUGGAGUAAGAAUGGGAAAGCUGGUGUGUGUGUGUGUGUGUGUGCCUGCAUGUUUUGUGUGGGUUUGAGUAUAUGUACAUGUGUGUGUAGUGUGUUUGUGUAUGUGUAUGUAGGUAUGUGUACUCUUGUAUGUUUGAGUAUAUUUGUGUGUGUGGUAUGUAUGUAAUCAGAAGAAAAACUGUCAUAAACAAUACUCUUUACUCUUGCUCCUUUGUCCCCUCUGAACUGCCGUAAUUCUUCGGUGUGAGCACAUUUUCUUUUCUUCUAUCUCUGCACACCUUCCACAAGGAUCAGAGCCACACUGGAGAGAAGGUAUUGGAGAUGUUCUGAGGAAGCCACAAUCAUUUCCUCUCUGAUGCUCUCAGAUACCUGGGCAGCUCCAACACGCGCUGUGAAGCACAGUCAUGGUGAAUGGAUGAAGCCCAGAUUUUGAUGUCUGAGAGCCACACCGGGGCUGCCCCAAUGACUUCUAUCCAAAACUGAUGACCACAGACUCCCUUGGUGGUGCCAGAGGAGAGCUGCCUUUUCUGUGAAUGUAAGCGAUGUCAUCCUGUCAUUGUGAAGAUCUAAUGAUGCCUUGUGCUAAAGGUUGAGCAAAGCCCAUCUCCAGUGUGGGUCAUAUGAUAAAUGUCAUGUUAAAGGUGCGUAUGACCAACCAACAGCAAGCCAGGGCCCCGAUGUGCAGAGCUGCCUUUGGCUCACUGCAGAGCUGGUGGCUAUGAUCCCAGCAGGCAAUCUAUUUCCCUUCUGUGUCUAACUGAAAUGUGUUCUGAACCUCGCCAUAUGGCCUUGCAGAAGGAACAGGCAACUUCUCAUUCAAAGAUCAAAAGAUAAAUUAAUCUGCUACAAUGAACAGGACAGGAAGGCAGCCCUUUUGCUUUAUUCUGUAUGUUGUGACUCGGUCUACACUGCUGCUGGGGCUCUUGGUACAGAAAAGUCCUUCUGAAGCCCAUUGUAGUGACAGAGCCUCACUUGGUUUGACUUCUCACUGUGGGUUUGAGCCAUAGGCAAAGGCCCUGCUGUGCAGAAGGUCAUGACCUAAGAGCAGAAGGAAAGGACAGGAAAUGGCUGUGCAUAGGGAACAGACCGAGGGAUCUGUAACAAAGCAAAGAUCCUCUAAGUAAGCUUGGGAGUCUAGGACACCAUCCUGCAAGAGGGAGCUCAGAGAUAAAAUCAGGGGGGGAAAUCCAUAUAGGUGUUCACAUCGUUCCAUAGAGGUGUUCACAUCAUUCCACAUCGAUAUUGAUUUGUGUCUGUCCUUUGGAUCAUUGACUUUAGAAAUCUACCUCCAUCCACUGACAAGCCAUCCUGCCACGUGCUAGACAUCGGUGUGAAGGAGAAGAACACAGAGACCAUUCCUGAACAAGGAAGGUGUGCAGGAGAAUGGAACAGGGGCCAAGACUGUACUUCAGAGAGAUGGGAGGCCAGGUAAUGGCUGAACUACAGUUCUCUAAGAUGUCUUCUCUCUUGGUCCUUACUGGGACUGGAAAGGCACCUAAAGUUUUCCAGCACAGGAAAACUUGAGGUGAGGGAAUGGCCAGUUUCUCUGACAGUUCCUUUCCUGAAUGAAGGAAGUCUGCUUCGGCGACUAGAACAGGCCUAUGGCUUUUGUAUCACUGGGCUGACACUUAACUAUUUUGAGACCCAUUAGGGAAUAAAAUAGAGUUCCCAAUUUCCACAUGUGACCCCUGGUGCCAUAGAGCAGGUCCUUUUCUGGGAACUAAACCUUGACAGAGAUAAAUGAGUCACAAGGUAAUGGAAGGGAGGGGAUAGUGUUCCAUUGUAAGCCAGUAAGUAGUUCAGUUAAAACCAGUUCCAGAGAGGUCCUAUCUCCAUCACGGAACAACAGAGGACUCAUGGAGGCCUUCUAUGUGUCAAGUGUCUAAGUGGCAUUAUCACUGUCCACUAAUAGUGGCCCUUAUCUGUAGAUGGACAAAUGAGUUUCUUCCACUUGGCUUCCCAUGUUCCUUGAUGAUCUCUGGGUGGGCAGACACGGACACAGUGUGUGAUGCUGUGUGGCCAGGAGCGGGGGUGGGGGGUGGGGGCGGUGGCUUCUGGUUGAAAUAUGAGAAUGUCACAAUACCAGGAACUUACUGUUACUAUUAAUUCUCUAGACAUUAUGACCAGACCUGGUGGCAGCUAGAACAGUUUACUAGACCCUUGGAUUCCAAGAACAGAGGCAUUCACUCUGCAGUAUGCUCAAAGACAGAGCGGGAAGUGUUGUCAGAAACAGGCAACAAAGCUAUUCCCAAUUCAUUACCUCCAGGGUUCAGGGUUCCCAGCAGGAGAAUGUAUCUCUAGAAGCAGUCUGUGGAGGCAAUGUCUUCUUCACUGAGCUCUUCAAAUAGCAUCAUGUGUGCUCUUUUACUGCAUUGCUCCCAUUGUUUGAAGUCAGUGGUGUUCACUGAUUAAGAACUGUUAUUUUUUACAACUCACAGACACGUGUACCCAGAUGCUUUCUUGACCACAAGCCCCAAAUUGCCUGGUUAUGCAACCCCAGAAUCUAUGCUAGUCUGAGAAAGGACUGUGACUCAGGGUCCAUUUUACACUGGCAUCUGGGAGCCCAGGAGGCCUCUGUGGAUCACGGCUCCCCACUUCAUAGUCUAAUCAGAAGUGCCUUGUCCGCUGUGUAUUGACUGCAGUUUCCUGAUGCUAAGUCAGUGCUGUUGGCAGUGACUUGAAGAAGCUGUCAUGCAAAUCAAAUGGUGACAAAGAAGAAUGAAGAACGGAUGAAAACAGAUAGGAUAAAGGUGUGGUGGUGACAGCGGCAGGCACACUGAACUCACAGGGGGGAAGGACAUGGUGGUGGGUGAUGCUCAGGGAGCUGCUGUCAGCAUAGCUCUCCUCCUCAUGGGUGUGUGGUUUGGGAGAUUAAGGUUCAGUUUUCCUAUUUGUAAAAAAUGAAGGCACUGCGAGGGUCUCCAUCACCAAGUUAGUAAGUUACUUACUUUGCUUGUUGGUUGGUUUUGUUUUCCAGAGUAGGGUUUCUCUGUAUAGUCCUGACUGUCUUGAGACUAGGUCUGCAGACCAGGCUGGCUUCAAACUCAGAGCAGUUUGAGCUGCCUCUGCCUCUGCCUCUGCCUCUGCCUCUGCCUCUGCCUCUGCCUCUGCCUCUGCCUCUGCCUCU
rnacentral:lncRNA from 1 species